CUUGACAUGCAGGUAGUAGGGAACCGAGAGGGGACCGACUCUUCGGAGAGCCUGCACAGGUGCUGCAUGGCUGUCGUCAGCUCGUGCCGUGAGGUGUCCCGGUUAAAGUCCGGUAACGAGCGCAACCCUGCCAUAUGCUACAAGUGUCACACGGAACUGCCGGUCAUAAACCGGAGAAGGUGGGAUGACGUCAAGUCAGCAUGGCCUUUAUAUCCUGGGCUACACACACGCUACAAUGGGAAGGGACAAUAGGUUGCGAAGCCGCGAGGCGGAGCCAAUCCAGCAAAACUUCCCUCAGUUCAGAUUGCAGGCUGCAACUCGCCUGCAUGAAGUUGGAGUUGCUAGUAAACGCAGGUCAGCCAUACUGCGUUGAAUACGUUCCCGGGGCUU
rnacentral:rRNA from 1 species